rnacentral:rRNA from 1 species
UACGGGGGGGGCAAGCGUUGUUCGGAAUUACUGGGCGUAAAGCGCGUGUAGGCGGUCCGGUAAGUCCGCUGUGAAAGUCGAGGGCUCAACCCUCGAAUGCCGGUGGAUACUGUCGGGCUUGAGUACGGGAGAGGCGAGUGGAAUUCCUGGUGUAGCGGUGAAAUGCGCAGAUAUCAGGAGGAACACCGAUUGCGAAGGCAGCUCGCUGGAACGUUACUGACGCUGAGACGCGAAAGCGUGGGGAGCAAACAGG